CUGCAAAAUCAUUUAUUACUACCCCAUAAAUAUUCCGUAUAGAAGAUGCUCUGUUUCGUUGUCAGGUUAACCAUAUUCCGGCGAUUUUUCACCAUUUUAUUGCUGAU
ensembl:snoRNA scaRNA:MeU1:95C-A24 small Cajal body-specific RNA : MeU1-A24